CUCAAUUAGAUGGAAAAUAUAUUUGACGAAAUUGACUUGGAGGAUUGUCCAACAACGUCUUCAACUCCCGCAAAAGACCAAUUACAUUUAAAGCGUAAAAAGUUUAACACGUCUGGUUGCUACAAUACAGAGGUCAGCAUUUCAAAACGACCUGUGGAAGGAAACGCUUGACGAUUUGACGACGAGGGUAUGCGAUUUGGAAACUAAAAUCGAUAAGCAUUUAAAAGAAAAUAUUAUUCAUAAAAGUGAAGAAAUGGCGCAGCAAAAAACGGUUCGUGAAUGCAAGGUCCUCAUCCGCAAAAUUCAUCAAUCGGUAUGCCGAACGACUGGUGAAGAUGUCGACAACGUUCAAACCGAAAUUGCUUCCACCCUACCAUUAAAUACGCUUGCUGCAGCUUUGGAAAUGGACGAAAAAUUGAAAUGCGACGAAUUUGCUGCUACAACGAAACAAUUCGUUUUGAGGAUAAAAGGUACUUCAGAUAGUGUACAUGAUGUGUUGCGAAGUCUGUACACUGAUGAACUUCUUUAUUUAUGUAACUGGGACGGUAGGGGUGGGAAGCAACCUCU